rnacentral:rRNA from 1 species
AGUGAACGCUGGCGGUAGGCCUAACACAUGCAAGUCGAACGGCAGCACAGUAAGAGCUUGCUCUUACGGGUGGCGAGUGGCGGACGGGUGAGGAAUACAUCGGAAUCUACUUUUUCGUGGGGGUUAACGUAGGGAAACUUACGCUAAUACCGCAUACGACCUACGGGUGAAAGCAGGGGAUCUUCGGACCUUGCGCGAAUGAAUGAGCCGAUGUCGGAUUAGCUAGUUGGCGGGGUAAAGGCCCACCAAGGCGACGAUCCGUAGCUGGUCUGAGAGGAUGAUCAGCCACACUGGAACUGAGACACGGUCCAGACUCCUACGGGAGGCAGCAGUGGGGAAUAUUGGACAAUGGGCGCAAGCCUGAUCCAGCCAUACCGCGUGGGUGAAGAAGGCCUUCGGGUUGUAAAGCCCUUUUGUUGGGAAAGAAAAGCAGCAGGUUAAUACCCCGCUGUUCUGACGGUACCCAAAGAAUAAGCACCGGCUAACUUCGUG